rnacentral:tRNA from 1 species
GGAGAGUACAGCUCAGUGGUAGAGUGCAUGCUUAGCAUGCACAAGGUCCUGGGUUCAAUCCCCAGUACCUCUG